UACGAAGGGUGCAACGUUGCUCGGAAUUAUUGGGUCGUAAGCGCACGUGAGGCGGCUUAGACGCGAAGUCCCAAUCGGUGAAAUCCCACCGGGCUUAAACCGUGGAAGUGCAUGGGAAACUGGCUGAGCUUGAGGUAACUUAAGAGGAGUCGCGGAAUUCCCGGAUGUAGAGGUGAAAUUCGUAGAUAUCGGGAGGAACACCAGUGGCGAAGGCGGCGAUCUGGGAAGAUACGUGACGCUGAGGUGCGAAAGCGGUUGGGGAGCAAACAGG
rnacentral:rRNA from 1 species